CUGUGCAAAGGUAGCAUAAUCAUUAGCUUUUUAAUUGAAGGCUUGUAUGAAGGGUCUGACAAAGAAAAAGCUGUCUUUAAUUUUAUUUUUGAAUUUAACUUUUAAGUGAAAAGGCUUAAAUGAAUUUAAGGGACGAUAAGACCCUAUAAAUCUUUAUAUUAUAUUAUUAUCUUGAAUUUUAAUAAUUUGUCUAGAUUGACAAGUAAAAUAAUAAAUAUUUUGUUGGGGUGACAAGAAUAUAAAAAAACUGUUCUUAAAUAAAACAAAGUUAUUUGUUUAAAAUUUUAUAGAUCCUUUUUAAAGAUUAAGAGAUUAAGUUACUUUAGGGAUAACAGCGUUAUUUUUUUUGAGAGUCCUUAUCGAAAAAAAAGUUUGCGACCUCGAUGUUGAAUUAAAAUUUCUCUACGGUGAAGAAGUUGUAGAAGAAAGUCUGUUCGACUUUUGAAAUUUU
rnacentral:rRNA from 1 species